UCGGAGUCUGCACGCUUGUGGUUGUGUUUGGUCUAGAAGACGCUACUACAAGGGUUGCACAUGGCAUUUUUUUUUUUAUGCUAAUGUUUUUGGUCUUUCUGCCUAAGUUAUUCUCGCAAUCUCUAACCAUUAUUCUUUACCAAAAAAAAAAAAAAAAAAUUCUCUAACCAUUAGUAAUUUAGUAUGUAAUGUAUCACCGUAAAUUAAAUGCAAAAAAAAA
rnacentral:lncRNA from 1 species